CUUAGGUUGUUGCUGCUACUCAUAAUGUGCAAUCCUAGGGUUCUGAUGGAGAAAGAAAUUUUGAGAGAGCUAGAAAGGUGGGGGCAACAGAAUUCUCAGGUACUAUUGAUCCAAUGGAAGCAGAAAAUUAGUUUCAGAGAAUAGAAAGGGUGUUUGCCUUAAUGAAAAUACUGAUGAGCAGAAAAUAAGCAUUGCUACUUUUUUUUUAGAAGGUCGGGCUCGGUAUUGGUGGAAAUCCUAUAUUGAUAGGCAGUCUUAAGGUUAUGUUAUCUCUUGGGAUGAUUUUAGAAGAGAGUUUUAUUAGCAAUAUUACUCGGUCAUAUAUUG
rnacentral:lncRNA from 1 species